AACGAACGCUGGCGGCAUGCCUAACACAUGCAAGUCGAACGAGACCUUCGGGUCUAGUGGCGCACGGGUGCGUAACGCGUGGGAACCUGCCCUUAGGUUCGGAAUAACUCCCCGAAAGGGGUGCUAAUACCGGAUAAUGUCUUCGGACCAAAGAUCUAUCGCUUUUGGAUGGGCCCGCGUUGGAUUAGCUAGUUGGUAGGGUAAAAGCCUACCAAGGCGACGAUCCAUAGCUGGUCUGAGAGGAUGAUCAGCCACACUGGGACUGAGACACGGCCCAGACUCCUACGGGAGGCAGCAGUGGGGAAUAUUGGACAAUGGGCGAAAGCCUGAUCCAGCAAUGCCGCGUGAGUGAUGAAGGCCUUAGGGUUGUAAAGCUCUUUUACCCGGGAUGAUAAUGACAGUACCGGGAGAAUAAGCUCCGGCUAACUCCGUG
rnacentral:rRNA from 1 species